rnacentral:rRNA from 1 species
GAUGAACGCUAGCGACAGGCUUAACACAUGCAAGUCGAGGGGCAGCAUAAAAGUAGCAAUACUUUGGUGGCGACCGGCGCACGGGUGAGUAACGCGUAUGCAACCUACCUAUCAGAGGGGAAUAACCCGGCGAAAGUCGGACUAAUACCGCAUAAAACAGGGGCACUGCAUGGUGAUAUUUGUUAAAGAAAUUCGCUGAUAGAUGGGCAUGCGUUCCAUUAGGUAGUUGGUGAGGUAACGGCUCACCAAGCCGACGAUGGAUAGGGGAACUGAGAGGUUGGUCCCCCACACUGGUACUGAGACACGGACCAGACUCCUACGGGAGGCAGCAGUGAGGAAUAUUGCGCAAUGGACGAAAGUCUGACGCAGCAACGCCGCGUGAGCGAUGAAGGCCUUCGGUCGUAAGCUCUUUCUGAGGGAAGAGAGAGGACGGUACCUCAGGAAUAAGCCUCGGCUAACUACGUG